rnacentral:rRNA from 1 species
CCUACGGGAGGCAGCAGUGGGGAAUCUUGCGCAAUGGGCGAAAGCCUGACGCAGCAACGCCGCGUGCGGGAAGAAGGCUUUCGGGCUGUAAACCGCUUUCAGCAGGAACGAAAAUGACGGUACCUGCAGAAGAAGGAGCGGCCAACUAUGUGCCAGCAGCCGCGGUGAUACAUAGGCUUCAAGCGUUGUCCGGAUUUAUUGGGCGUAAAGAGUUCGUAGGCGGUCGAGUAAGUCGGGUGUGAAAAUUCUGGGCUCAACCCAGAGACGCCACCCGAUACUGCUUGACUUGAGUUCGAUAGGGGAGUGGGGAAUUCCUAGUGUAGCGGUGAAAUGCGCAGAUAUUAGGAGGAACACCGGUGGCGAAGGCGCCACUCUGGAUCGAUACUGACGCUGAGGAACGAAAGCAUGGGUAGCAAACAGGAUUAGAUACCCUGGUAGUCCAUGCCGUAAACGGUGGGCACUAGGUGUGGGUUUCUAUUAACGAAAUCCGCGCCGUCGCUAACGCAUUAAGUGCCCCGCCUGGGGAGUCGGUCGCAAGCUAAAACNCAAAGGAAUUGACGGCUUGAGAGUUGCGAGCGACACGAGGGAGAG